rnacentral:lncRNA from 1 species
UCUCUAACAUGACCUAGUCUAUAAUGCCACAAGUACUUCUAGUUAAUUUCAUUUCUGAGUCUCUUUUGGCCUACGGCACUCACUAUUUGCUUGUUUAAGUUCACAUUUGCAUCAACAUGUAAGUAAUAUAGACUGCCAAUUAAAAGACCUCAUGCAACUAAUUUAUUUCAUAAAUAAAUAGAACAAAAGUCUAAAAAUCUUCCUGUGCUAGCAUAGACAC